CACCACCGCGACUCCGACGGCUGGUACGCGUCUGUGACUUUCGCGUGCGCCCGCCGUGAACUCCCCUGCAUCCAAUUUGGUACCCAGCCCCGCGCAGGCCUUCCCCAGCCUCAGACGCUUCAAUUCCUGACUCGCUGGUGGCCUCUGCCCGCCGUACUCACUGGUGGCCUCUGCCCUCCCCUUCAAUUCCCGACUCGCCCACCUCUUGUUGCAGUCUUAACUCGGUUAGACAGUCAGGCCGGAAGGGCUGUGGAGUCAGGCCAAGCUGACGGUUGUUUCGCCCCCAAUGCGCACUCGCGUUGUCUGGAUUGACGUGUUGUUUUAGUUCUCCUGGUGUUCAGCUGUGGGAGCCCACUGGUUGCCGCGGCGGGAGUUCACGAGUAAGAUAAGAAAUGGUAUACACAAUCAUGAAUAAUAUUGUAGGAUAUUGUGAGUAGAUGAGCACCCCUGGACUCACGUGCUCGUUGCUGCUGGACUCGCACCGAGACUGCCGCGAGCAGCAGCAGCGAGGACUUCCACGAGCACCGGUGCGAACUCCGGCAAGCAUCGCUACGGAUUCCCUCGAGCACCAGGUUCGUGCAAUACUCAAGCGACCUUCUGGUCCUGUAAAGGUGUGCAUCUUCAAAAGGGACUUACUCUCAUUGUUAAGAUUAUUUAGAAUUUGCAUGAGUUUGUGAGCUUAUGGAGGUGAAUGAAGAUUACGGACAACUUUCUUCAAGG